rnacentral:rRNA from 1 species
CUGAGAGGGUGUCCGGCCACACUGGGACUGAGAUACGGCCCAGACUCCUACGGGAGGCAGCAGUGGGGAAUAUUGCACAAUGGGCGCAAGCCUGAUGCAGCGACGCCGCGUGGGGGAUGACGGCCUUCGGGUUGUAAACCUCUUUCAGCAGGGACGAAGCGAAAGUGACGGUACCUGCAGA